rnacentral:rRNA from 1 species
CCUACGGGUCGCAGCAGUAGGGGAUCUUCGGCAAUGGACGAAAGUCUGACCGAGCAACGCCGCGUGAGUGAAGAAGGUUUUCGGAUCGUAAAACUCUGUUGUUAGAGAAGAACAAGUAGGAGAGUAACUGCUCUUACCUUGACGGUAUCUAACCAGAAAGCCACGGCUAACUACGUGCCAGCAGCCGCGGUAAUACGUAGGUGGCAAGCGUUGUCCGGAUUUAUUGGGCGUAAGGCGAGCGCAGGCGGUCUUUUAAGUCUGAUGUGAAAGCCCUCGGCUCAACUGAGGAAGGUCAUCGGAAACUGGAGGACUUGAGUGCAGAAGAGGAGAGUGGAAUUCCAUGUGUUGCGGUGAAAUGCGUAGAUAUAUGGAGGAACACCAGUGGUGAAGGCGACUCUCUGGUCUGUAACUGACGCUGAGGCUCGAAAGCGUGGGGAGCAAACAGGAUUAGAUACCCGAGUAGUC